ACUUGUAGGCACUUUGUUUGUUAAGUAAAAUAGUUUUUUCCACUUUUCUUUGUGGAAGUUCUUUCCCAGACCUGUUGGGGGGAGGGGCCGUUUGGGUUUGCUCCCCAGAGGGAUCCCAUUCAGGGGUUUUCUCCCAAAUUUGCCCUAAACCAGGGCAAUUCCUUUUUAUUGUCGCCCAGCCCAGGGCUCAAGAGAGUGGAAAAAACUUCUAUUGAUUAUUGAUUGCAUUUUGGUUGUACUUUGUGUGGGGAUAAAACAGUCAGUAGCCAUGUUGCUCCUUGAAUUCCUAAUGUCUCUUGGAAUGGAGUCCUUUCUGUGUUUCUGUUCCCUAGGCUUUUUUGAGGUUUUAAUACCUUUCUGGUCCCUAGGUUUGUUUUCUUAUCCGGAAAUAGCUCCAAUAUUGUCCCUAACACAUAGCUUUUACACUAGGGAUGCACAAAUUAGAAUAGCUAUUUUGUUGGGCUCAGUGAUUAUGGUUUACAGGAAGUUUAUAAAGGUACUGGAGUUUGUGCCAGAUAUGUUUCGUUUAUGGUUUCUUCGUCCUACCCUGCAUCCUAGUUCCAGCAGCACCUUUUGGGGAUUUAUCAAUAAUUGCACCCAGUUUGUUAGACGAGGAGUAGGGGUUGAGGCUUUUCAACCUCUCCUUUCCAUCUUCUCUUUUGAUUUGGUUACAUCACUUUUGGAGAAUGUUCAGUGUCCCCUGAAUAUUAAAGAGACCACUUUCCUGGUAUUUCAGCUAUUGAUCUUCCUUUAUAUGGUUUGUAGAUUUUCUAGAAUGAGGACUGAGAUUUCCAGAGGGGCUGAUGAGACCCCUGACCCAGAAGUAGACCCAGGUGUGGAAAAUCCUAAGUGGUGUGGAGAAUGGGAGAGAAUUGGCCGAACCUUGAAGGAAUUUUCUGAUCCCCCAGCUUGGGAAUUUUCAUGUGAACAAAUUCAGAACCCAGACGAGGUGGGGAAAUAUCUGGAGGAGAACUGCCAUGAUGACUCUAAGGAGAAAAAGCUCAUUGCAAUAAGCUGGGCCCUAGCAUAUGCUUAUCGCACACUGCUAGAUACUGUAGGGCAGCAGACAGAGGCAGGGGAGCAGGGAGAUAAAUCAGUCACUCAGGCUGCAGCCAAUCCCACAGCUACUCAGGCUGUAGCUAAACCAGACAGUGGGGCUAAGACACUGGGAGAUGCUGUGGGAAAGAAGGGAAAGAAGCACACGUGCAAAACCAAUCAAUCAGUGGGUGAUGAUCCAGGUGAAGGACCCUCAGUGCCUCCUGACACCCAGUCAGGAGCUGAACCAAGUGGCACAAGAUCAGAAGCCCGACCAACUGCUACGAGAUCAGGAGAUACUAUUGAGUCCUUUUCCCUGAAGGGCCUUCGUGGCCUAAGAAGGGAUUACACUCGACGACCUGAUGAAUCUAUAAUUAGUUGGUUAGUCCGUCUUUGGGAUGCUGCAGGUGAUGUUACAAUGCUGGAUGGCACUGAAGCAAGGCAUUUAGGAUCCCUAUCACAUGAUCCGGUUAUCGAUCAAGAAAUGAUGAGGGAGGCUCACUCUUGCAGUCUCUGGGAACGGGUCCUGAGAAGUGUGGCACAAAGAUAUCUGUGUGCAGACGAUCUCUAUAUGCAGCAAACCCAGUGGAAGACCAUUGAACAAGGGAUUCAACGCUUGAGAGAAAUGGCAGUGGCAGAGAUUGUCUUCUCAGAUGACCUAAACAUUAGGAACCCUGACUUGGUACCAUGUACGCUUGUGAUGUGGCGAAAACUUGUACGACUUGGGCCACAAGAAUACUCUUCUACUUUAGCACUAAUGAAGAGGGAUGACACAGAGGAGACGGUGCUUAAUAUGGUGAAGAAGCUCCGAGCAUAUUCAGAUGCCAUGCAUGGUCCAACACAUGCAAGAAUCACAGCUCUGGAAAUUCGUCUGCAGAAAUUAAAAGACAAGAUGGAGGAGAAUCACAAGAAACUCGAGGAGGAGAUUAAAGAGGACAUUCUCCAAAUCUCUGCAGUACAGGUCAGAAGUUCUAGCACCACACGCAAACGUUCCCCAGAUAGAGAGGGAAAAAGCAUCCCACGGACUAAGCUGUGGUCCCUCCUGCGUGAAUGUGGAGAAAACAUGAAAAGAUGGGAUGGAGAAUCUACUGAUGCUCUGGCACAACGGCUGCGUGAAUUGUUGGAAGGCAGGACUAUGAGAGGAAGUUCUACCAAGAAGGAAGCAGCUCCGGUUACCCAGGUAAAUAAGGAUAAUCAGGCUUAGAGGGGCCCUGCCUCUAGCCAGGUAGAGGCUAGGGAAACCCAUAUUUUUUGGACUGUGUGGAUUCAUAGGCCUGGCACAUUAGAACCACAAAAAUAUGAGGCCUUGGUUGAUGCUGGUGCGCAGUGCACAUUACUCUCAUCAAGACAUGUGGGGGAAGAAUCUGUUUCUAUUGCUGGUGUGAUAAGGGGAUCACAAGAUUUUACUUUGGUGGAAGCUGAUGUAAGCCUGACUGGAAAUGAGUGGAAGAAACACCCUAUUGUGACUGGCCCAGAAGCCCCAUGCAUUUUGGGCAUAGACUCCCUCCAAAAUGCGAAUUUCAAAGACCCAAAGGGAUUCAGGUGGGUGUUUGGGAUGGCAGCUGUAGAGACAGAGGGUGUUAAGCAGUUGAAUACCUUGCCUGGACUAUCAGAGAACCCAUCUGCUGUAGGACUUCUGAAGGUGGAAAAGCAUCGACUGCCAAUUGCCACUUCAACAGUGCAUCGCCGACAGUACAGAACAACUCGAGAUGCUGUGAUCCCCAUCCACAAGAUGAUCCGUGAGCUGGAGAGCCAAGGGGUGGUCAACAAAACACAAGCUACUGAAGGAGAAGGUGGGUCAAGCCAACUCGCUGAGCUCAAAGCCGUUCAACUGGCCCUGGACAUUGCUGAAAGAGGGAAGUGGCCAAAGCUCUACAUCUCUACUGAUUCGUGGAUGGUGGCCAAUGCUCUGUGGGAUUGGCUGGAGAGGAGGAAAAAGGCUAGUUGGCAACCUAGAGGAAAACCAAUUUGGGCUGCUGAUGAAUGGAAAGACAUUGCCACUCGGGUAGAGAAGCUACCUAUGAAAGUCCGUCAUGUAGAUGCCCAUGUCCCCAAGAGUCGGGCUAAUGAGGAGCACCAAAGCAACCAGCAAGUAAGUCAGGCUACAAAGAUAGAAGUGUCAAAGAUAAACUUAGGUUGGCAACAUAAGGGAGAGUUGUUUCUAGCUCGAUGGGCUCUUGAUGCCUCAGGUCAUCAGGGCAGUGAUGCCACCUAUAAGUGGGCCCGAGACCGAGGGGUGGAUCUAACCAUGGACAGUAUUUCUCAGGUUAUCCAUGACUGUGAGACGUGUGCUGCCAUCAAGCAGGCCAAGCGGGUGAAGCCGCUAUGGUAUGGUGGGCGAUGAUCCAAGUAUAAGUAUGGGGAAGCCUGGCAGAAUUAUUAUAUUACACUGCCCCAGAUACACCAAGGUUAGCACUAUGUACUCACAAUGGUAGAGGCCACCACAGGAUGGCUGGAGACCUACCCUGUGCCUCACGCUACGGCCUGGAACACCAUUCUAGGCCUUGAAAAGCAAGUUCUUUGGAGGCAUGGCACCCCUGAGAGGAUUGAGUCAGACAACGGAACUCAUUUCAAAAACAGCCUCAUCAACAACUGGGCUAGGGAACAUGGCAUUGAGUGGGUGUACCAUAUCCCCUAUCAUGCACCAGCUUCAGGGAAAGUCCCAAGAUACUGGGACUGUUAAAUGGACUGUUAAAAACCACCUUGAAAGCACUGGGUGGGGGAAUCUUGCAAAAAUUGGAAGCAGCAUCUAGCAAAGGUCACCUGGUUAGUUAACACCCAAGGUUCCACCAACAGAGGAGGCCCUGCCCAAUCUGAGCUCCUACAUAUGGUAGAUAAAGUCCUAGUAGGACAUGUAAGAGGUUUGUUAGGGAAGACAGUUUGGAUCAAUUCCGCUUCAAGCACAGACAAACCCAUCCAUGGGAUUGUCUUUGCUCAGGGACCAGGCUGCACAUGGUGGAUAAUGCAGAAAGAUGGAACCACACGAUGUGUACCCCAGGGAGAUUUGAUUGUUAGGUGAGAACCGUGUGUAACUAUCACUGUGUGCUAAAUGCUACUGCCACUGUAUGUAGCUGUAUAUUGCAUAUUGUUUUUAUAUAGAUACAUGUAUGUGUAGUGUAUGUAGAGCUAGACUAUAUAUUAGUUUUGGUGAGGUGAUGAUAUAAUGCUAAGGGAGGGAAUGUCCUAGGGUGACUUUAUGAUGCUUGUAUCCCCAAUCAUCUGUUCUGUUUGUGCUGUGUAUUGAGUUCUGUGCCUUUAAGACUGGUUCUGGGAGCAAAGGGGGAGCAAGAAGAAGCGUGGAGUUUGUUCUGAGAAAACUGCCUGACUCCUCCACGCUUCUCUGGACAGGGUGUUCGGCGGAGGCUUGGAGAGACUGCAAGACAGAGAUCUUUUUGCUUUUAGUUAGUUUUAGCUAGCUAGGGCAGAGAAGUUUCCUGGACUGUUUUUUUUUUUUUUUUUUUUAAAUUUCCUGGGACUGUUUAAACCUGCUCUGGACUGAAAACCCAGGGGAGCACUGGGGGCUGCACCUGCGGCCCAUCGGGGCCUGGACCUCGGCAUUUUCCAGCAGCGCCGGAGGGACUGGGACUGAGGAGAGACUGAGAGAGAGCCGAGCUACACCCACAGCAAGAACUUUCUCAAUUUGCCAUCUCACUCCAGAACGAGAGAAACACCGUGGUGCUCCCCCAUUAAAGUGAAACAUGGUUAUGCAAACUGCAGGACACCUCAAGGGGAAUAUUACAAGAAUGUGUUGGGCACAAGAUGUGAUAUUCGCUGUCAAAAAGGCUACGAACUGCAUG